AAGAAUUAAAUGGAUGAAAUAUGAAGUUUUAUUAAAAGAAAAAGGGAUGAAAAGAACAAAGUUUUGUCCAUCUUUGUUCAUCAUAGCUGAAAGUUAGAGAAGAGAAAGGAGAGGAGAAAGCUCUUGAGUAUUCGGUCAUUAGGAGGAGGAAAAUUGAAGGCGGUUCGUAUGUGGAUCUCGUCAGCAUAUCGUCGCAAAUAGGAAAUCCCCAACCAUAGUGGGCUUGGAGCUGUGAGGGAAUUCGGAGUGGCCACCG